rnacentral:tRNA from 1 species
GUGGACGUAGCCAAGUGGACCAAGGCAGUGGAUUGUGAAUCCACCAUGCACGGGUUUAAUCCCUGUCCUUCGCC